GGAGGCUGCUAAGCGAGGCUCAGGGCUGACAGCCAGGGUGAGCUUUCCCCCGGUAAGGCAGCGGCCAAUUAACCUGAUGAAAAGGAGGGAGACAGAGCAGACAGGGCUUCUGCAGGGGCAGGCAAGGCCUUUCAAGUGAGGGAGAGGAACAGACAGAGAGAAGGAGAGAUUUUUGGGGUCCCCAAAACUCUGUUUUGUCUGGUUGGUGUGUUUGUAGGGUCCUUUUCCCCAGGUAUCCCUAUGGAGGGAUGUUCUUGGGGUUUCUAUCCUUGGGUAUCCAAGCAGUGCUCUCCCCCCAGGAUGUACACGUGUACCCCAGCUGCAAUUUCCAAACCAGUGAUCCUGUGGCUGCUCGAAAACAUCCCUGUGUGUGUGGGAUCAGUGUUCAUGCUCCCAUAUUGAAGGAAAACUUGCUUGGAGCCUCUGCAAAGCCAGAAGAAAAUGAAACCCCUUCUCAAGCAAGCUCCUCUCAGGCUGAGCCAGGGCUUUGUGGAUUUCUCCUUGUUAGGCUCAAAAUUACUUCCUUCAUUUUCCCCGUCACUCCUGGAGUUGCCUCGAGCCCCGGGGCUGCAGGCAGGCACAGGGCUAAUCCUUCCCGAGCUCUGCUGUCUGGUGGACUUCAGGGCCACGCGAUAGGCUCUGGUGCUCGGGCAGAGCAAGGCACCAUCCAUCACGUCCACUUGAGACAGCUGUCAGCAAAGCUAAUCAUCUGCUGCCCAAGCGAUGUUCCCCCGACCUCUGCUCGCCUCUGGGAGAGGCUUGGUCCUUCCUCGGUGCCACCGAAGGGGAUGGGGACGAUUGCUGAGAGCAGAGGGAGCCUGGUGGGAGGACAGGAGCUGGGUGGGCACCCAAGCAGCUGGCCGGAGCAUGGCUUGAUGCCGCGAUUUGUGUCUGCAGGAGCAAUAAUUGCAACUGAUGUCAUUUUAAGAUGGGAAGUGUAGCCCUGUGCUCCCCUCCGAGGCUGGAAGCACCAUAAAUAAGAGGGCAAAGCUGUCCCCUGCCAUCCGAGAAACCUGUAGAUCGAAGUCCCAGCUGUCUCCACCUCCGAGAUUCUCAGCGAAGAGCCGCCUGUCACAUUAUCUUGUGUCAGCAUGGCCACACAGGGUGCUCCCUGAGACAUCCUCCCUCUUCUGAAGCCCUGGGGACUGUGCCCAGCUGAGCCACGAGCACCUCGUGUCCUCCUGUCCCCCGAUGGAGCACUUCUGCAUGGUCAGUCACGGUGGCCUCCCAUUUUAUUGGGACAGGCAGAGGAAAACAGUGGCUCUGGCCCUUCAAGGGAUGCUGUGGGACACCCAGGAGCUGGAAAGUCCCCAGGGCCAUCAGCACCGUCCCGAGGAGCCCAGCAGAGCCAGGAAGGUGGCAUGGGAAGGGGACGCCCUUAGGAACCACUUCUGUUCAAACCAGUGGGGUAGGUGCUUGCUGAUCCUUGCUCUGCCUUCGCAGGGAAGCACCCCUGCAUCCGAGCAAGUGGAGCAGUGAUCUGCCCUGAGCUGAACUCCCUGCUGGAGACAGAUGAGAGAUUGCCGCGUGUUUAAUUCAUGGCCCUGCGUUUCUAUUUCUGGUUGCUCUCAGGCCUCCCUGGUACAGGGAGGCACCUCUCAGGCACUAUUUCCCUUCUCCUUUGCGUGCUUCUCCACCAGCAGUGCGUGCCAAGCCAGCCGUGCUGGUCAGCUUCGGGGUGAUGUGGGGCCAAAGAGACACAGGGGUCCUGCAGGAAGGGGGCACCCAGAGGCACAGGGGCUGCAGCUCUGGGCACGGCUGCCUGGCCCCACCGCAGAGCUCUGAACACCUCUCUGCAUGUUCAUCCUGGUGGUGCUCACUGCAGGGCUCUGAUUCCAUUUUUAAAGGCAGGGAAACUGAGGCUGAGAGGCAUCAAGGUCAUGCAGGAACCUACCUUUAAGUUCAGUUUCCCCUGAGUGUGAGAUAAGGCUGGGGGUGAGCUUUGGGGUUAGGUCCAAUCCUGCCUUCAGUCUGGGCUUGACCUCACGCAGGGCUUGCAGUGCAGUGAAAAAAUUGCCCUUUCCACAUCCUUUCCUCCCCAGCCACCUCACCACCCAACGGAUUAUUCUCGACAGAGCAACCUGGGCAAGGGCAGGUAAUCCACGGCUCCAAGCAGGCUGCUGCAUCACUGACCUCCAGCACUGCAGCCUCUCCUGCCA